rnacentral:rRNA from 1 species
GAUGAACGCUGGCGGCGUGCCUAAUACAUGCAAGUCGAGCGAACGGACGAGAAGCUUGCUUCUCUGAUGUUAGCGGCGGACGGGUGAGUGACACGUGGAUAACCUACCUAUAAGACUGGGAUAACUUCGGGAAACCGGAGCUAAUACCGGAUAAUAUUUUGAACCGCAUGGUUCAAAAGUGAAAGACGGUCUUGCUGUCACUUAUAGAUGGAUCCGCGCUGCAUUAGCUAGUUGGUAAGGUAACGGCUUACCAAGGCAACGAUGCAUAGCCGACCUGAGAGGGUGAUCGGCCACACUGGAACUGAGACACGGUCCAGACUCCUACGGGAGGCAGCAGUAGGGAAUCUUCCGCAAUGGGCGAAAGCCUGACGGAGCAACGCCGCGUGAGUGAUGAAGGUCUUCGGAUCGUAAAACUCUGUUAUUAGGGAAGAACAUAUGUGUAAGUAACUGUGCACAUCUUGACGGUACCUAAUCAGAAAGCCACGGCUAACUACGUG